CUACAUCUCAAAACUGCUCUGUCUCAUUCUUCUUCUUUGGGACUCUGCCUCUUCGUUAUCUUCAUCUUCAUUUCAUUCAUUACGUUAGAUUUCGUCCGACGGUGAAGCCUGGAAGUUGCAGAUUUUUUCUUUUUCUUUUUUUUUUCUUUUAAAAAAAAAAAAAAAUCAGCCUCUCGAACCAGCGGGCAGUAACUGGCGGUAUACCUUCGGCAAUCGGUGAUCAGCUGCUGCAAAACUCUCAACAGGUGUUAAUCAGAUGCAUUUUAUGCUGUAUUAUGCAUUUUAUUGAUGUAUUCGAUUUGCCUGGACCACCACAUGUUUUCACGAAACAAAGAUGAAUUUCUCUAAUUUUAUACAAAACCAAACCACCACUUGUUUUCACAGAAAAGAUUUAAUUUCUCUAAUUUUGUACAGAUUUAAAAUCGACAAUGUGGUUUUUCUUGAUUUAUACAAUUUCUUUUUGUUGAUGGACCGAAGAACUUGAGGUAUUUUUGGAAAUGGCUUCUUUUUGUUGAUGGAUUUUGUAGCCCAGAGAUUUCUGUUCAAUGGGUAUGCAUGUGGUUUUCUUGAUUUUUUUGUAGUUCAUCUGAAUGUUUACAAGAUUUGACAAAGUCUUCAUUCUGGGUUCUGACCUUGAUGUUGAUAUGAGGCUAGUUUUGUUUUUAAGGGAUUCUAAAUCUUUUUAUCUGUUUGAUUGGUUGACGUUAAUGGUUUUAAGAAAUUGUGUAGUUGACAAUUUAUUAUUGUCCUCUCAUAUAUGUGUGUGUGUUUAUAUUCCCUGGCCAACUUUAAAUUCAAACUAGUCAUUUUGUGAUUGAUAGUUGAUAAUUGGAUACCAUAUGGGGCCAGAAGCUUCUAUAAUGUGGCUGUGGUUUCUUCUUCUGGUCUAUAUUUUACCCUCUUCCUUAUUUUCGUCCAAUCCCAUGGCUCCAAUAGCCAAAGACAUCAACAAUCACAAUCAAGGUUUUGGUUCAACAAUGGAAGAUUUCAUAAAUAGAAUCCACCCACCCACAAAGAAGAAAAGAACAGAGAGAUAGAGGGUAACAUAAAACAAAAAGAAUCUGCUUUUAUAUAGAAUAGUAAAGAAACAAAAUUGCAGAUGAUAAAAAAUUAUUACAGUGAGUAAAAUAAAGAAUUCAAGAAAGGAUAAACAAGCCUUACAAAGGAUAAGGCUUCCAAGAACCAAAGAGAAAAGGACACCAAGAAAAAAUAAUACUACUACAACAAAGAGAGAGAAAGCGAGAGAAUUUUUGAACUGAAGGAAUUGGUCAUGUGGUUGUGAAUAUGUGAAUCACCAACAGAAAAAUGGUGGGUAAGGGGUGGCGUGGGGAGAUCACGAAGAUCACUAUAAAAAAAUAAAUAAAACCAUGAUUCAAAGGGACUCCAACACACGGGACAGCAAGCCUAGGAUUGGAUGGACGAUAGGUACUCUGUAAUUUGACAUAUUCUUAUUGGUCAAUGAUUGGAUAGGAUGAGGAGUACAUGCACCCAAUUUCAGCUAAUUAUAACUCCCAUUUUUACUUCAAAUUGGGCUGCACUGGCCCCUUUGCUUUGCUGUAAUUAAGGAUCACGUGGCUAACAGAAAGAUUUACAGGUGGCUUUACUAUUUCUUAUCAGUAUCGAUUGUCCUAACUUGAUGUCGAUUCUACAUUCUACUGUUCUAAAAUACUUUCCUUGAAAGAGGGGUUCUUGUUGCUUGAUUACUCACUUAAUCAAAUCAAUCUACAGAUAUUUUCAUAAUUAUCUUCAAAAAGAAUAAAUAAAUACGUAAAAACUCGUAACAUAAUUUAUCGAGCCUUCUAAAAGAUAGGUGGAGAAAAAAGAAGGCAGGAUGGAACCAGAUAUCAAAACAUGCAUGAGGGUGGAGAAAAAUGCUUAUGAGUUUGUCACAUCAUCAAUAGAUUGAGAACGGUUCAAAGUUGGCAAGUGGGCAAGUGGCUCUGAGGAUUGAGGGAUUAUGGUGAAACAUGUUUAUUUAAGUUACUUUAUUCACAUUAGGUGCCAUAUAUGUGAAGAAUAUCAUAGUUCAAUACGUUUUAAGGAGUAGUUUGUUUCUAUUAAAACUUAGAAAUGAACAUAAGGAUUCAAGAAUGGUAUACCAUAUGUAGCCAACAGAGCUUUAUUGACAAUAAUUAUUCCAAUAAAAGUAACAAUAUUGAACAUCCAUAAUGUAAUGAUACUUGAUACCGUUUUGAGCUUUUACCUUUGUUCUUAUCAUUUUUCUAUGUUUUUUUUUUUUUUUUCCCUUUUCCAGUGGCGUUUGUACCUAUUAUCAAUCCUAUAAAUUGUCCAUGGGUCAAAAAGCUUUCACAAGUUACUUAGGUGAAAAUAAAGCUGCGUGGCAAGUAUAAUCUUUGAUUGGCUAUGAACAUGGUUGGGUAAACAUGUAAGCUACUUAUUUUGAUCCUGAGAUGAAUCGUAAAGAGUUAUUCAAAAUAAGUAACUUUAUUUACUUAAAGAAGUUACUUUUACUUAUUUUUCAGCUUUGAAUUUGUAUUUGUGUUAUUCAGUGUUUGAUCGAAUAAUAAUGGACAACGCAUGGUUGCAAUUAUCAAGAUUAUUAUUUGAAAUAAGAUCUUGUGAAUCUACUUACAAAAUUUAAACAUUUUAACAUAAAAUGAUCAUAACAUUUUACUUAUAGGUUUUCAGAACAAUAUAGAGAUGGAGCACAGAAUUUUGAUGAACUAGCUCGUGAAAAUCUAUGUUCAGAAAUGAUAGGAUGCCCUUGUGUUAAGUGUAGGAAUCUAAAGCACCAUCAUUAUGAAACAAUGUACGAACAUUUGGUUAUUGAGCCCCUCAUUUGGACCCCAUUCUCCUAAUCAUUCUUUUUCUCUCUCUUAUUUUCAACUACACAAUCUUCCAUCAAAUAAUAUUACACGCAAAUAAAAAACUUUUCACUAUUUUUCGACCACACAUUUUUCAAAAAAAUAUUAUUCCAACCACUAAAAUUUGGAAGGAAUGGGGGCCAAACGAAGGCUAAGGGAAUGGAUCCUACGUACACUGUUUGGAUAUUUCAUGGAAAACUACCAUAUUAAUUAAAUUCAGUUGAUUUGGAAAUGCCUGAGUCACGUAGAAUGUUUAGGGACUUCUAUGUACAAUAUGAUGUAUAUCUUGAAAACCCUAUUGAUGGAAGAGAUGGAGAGAUACAAAGUUUGGUUGACGAUGCUAAGACAGCUUUGUAUCUUGGUUGUAUGACAUUUACGAAGAUGUCAACUUUGAUUGCAUUGCUUAAACAUAAAGCUACACAUGGUUUAUCAGAUAGUGAUUUCGAUGAACAUAUAAAUUUCAUUCAGGGACAUGUUGCCAGAAAAUAAUAAACUUCCUAACUCAUUUUAUGAGAUAAAAAAACUUGUCAAUGCCUUUGACCUCGGCUAUGAGAAGAUACAUGCUUGCUUGAUGAUUGUUGUCUAUAUAGAAAGGAGCUUGAACAUGCUGAAUUCUGUCCAAAAUGUGAUUGCUCAAGAUGGAAAGUUAACCAACAGACUAAAAAAAUUCAAAAAAAAAAAAAAAGCACCUAAAGUCUUGUGUUAUUUCUCUAUAAUACCAAGACUUGGGAGGAUGUUUGGAAUAGAUGAGAUGGCGACACAACUUAGAUGGCAUUCAAAUCAUAAAAGUCCAGAUGGUAAAAUCAGGCAUCCAAUUGACUUAUUAAGUUGGGAAAUGAUAAAUAGAAGAUGGCCACAUUUUGCAUCAGAUCCUCAAAAUAUUAUACUAAGUCUUGCAACUAAUGGAUUUAAUCCUUUCAAAGAUUUUAGUUCUAAAUAUAGUUGUUGGUCAGUAACUUUAACUAUAUAUAAUUUGCCUUCCUCAUUAUGCAUGUCGAAAGAAUGUUUGAUGUUGGGCUUAUUGAUCCCAGGACCAAAGCAGUUAGGUAAUGACAUAAAUGUUUAUUUGGCACCAAUUGUAGACGACUUAAUAUUGUUAUAGAGUGACGGGGUUGAGAUAUAUGAUGCAGUCAUGAAACCUACAUUCAAUUUAAAAGCUAUUUUAAUGUGGACAAUACAUGACUUUCCUGCAUAUGGAAAUGUAUCUGGAUGACCCGUUAAGAGAAAAAUUGCAUGCCGUAUUUGUCAUGAAAAUACAUGUUCCCUAUGGCUGUUACGUGGUAGGAAGUUUGCGUACAUGUGACAUAUAAAAUUUCUCGACUUGAGUCAUCUAUUUCGUAUGAAAAAGAGUUGUUUAAUGAAUGCAUUGAAAAUGGUUCUAGGCUGAAGAUAAAGAAUGAUGAAGAAGAUUCUAAUGAAGUUGAUAAUAUUACAUAUGAUUGGGGAAAAAGUGAUAAGCGAAAGAGAAAAAAGAAUACAACUCAAUUAAAUGUAAUGUGGAAGAAAAAGUCAAUAUUUUUCAUGCUACCAUAUUGGAAGAUAACUCUAAUCAUAAUUUUUCUGGUUUGCUAAAUACUUCUAAUGGCUUGUAGUAUAUCAUCGCACAAUUAAUGUUUAAUUUGCAAACUUUACGUGUACGUCAUAAUUUGGAUGUGAUGCAUGUGAAAAAGAACAUUUGCGAGAGCAUCAUUAAUACACUUUUGGACGUGAAAGGAAAAUCUAAAGAUGGUAUUAACUCUCGUAAAGACUUGGAAGCGAUGAAUAUUAAGCAUGAUUUACAUGCUGAGAGAAGAGGAAAUAAAUUCUACUUACCUGCUGCCUAUCACACUUUAUUAAAAGCAGAAAAAUAAAUGUUUUGCAUGAAACUUGCUAAUAUGGGAUUGCCCGAUGGUUAUGGUUCUAAUAUCGAAAAUUGCAUUUCAGUGAAGUGAAAAAAUGUAAGAUAGCUGGAUUCAAGUUUCGUGAUUGUCACAUUUUAAUGCAACAAUUACUACCAGUUACAUUGAGAUGACUUCUACCUAAAGGAUCAGAGAACUCCAUUUUUAAAUUGUGUUCAUUUUUCAAUGAAACAUGUCAAGGGGUUGCAAAUAGGAAUAAUGUUGAAAGUUUGGAAAAAGACGUUUCUGAAACUUUAUGCAUGUUGGAAAGGUAUUUUCUACCUUCCUUUUUUGAUAUUAUGGUUCAUUUCACAAUCCAUAUUGGGAGAGAAGUUCGUCUAUGCGGACCAAUCCAAUAUUGUUGGAUGUACCCAUUUGAGAGGUAAUAUUCCUUUAAGUUAUACCCAAAUGUGAAAUUUAUUUUCAAUUUUGUUUUAUAUUUUAUACUAUUUUUCAGUAAAUAUGUAGGUAUAUGAAACAGUUGAGAUGAUAUGUUAUGAAUCCUGCACGACCUAAAGGGUGUGUAGCUGAAUGAUACAUUAUUGAAGAAAAUACGAUGUUUUGUAGUAGUUACAUAAAACAGGCAUAUGAAAUAGGCAUUAGGCCUGCACACAACGAAGAAUAUGAGAGUAACUUCUUGGUUGUAGGGCGCACAAUUUCUAAAAGGAAGCCAAUUGUACUUCUAGAUGAGAUGUUGAAAGUUGCCAAACGCUAUGUGUUGCUAAUAGUACUGAAGUGGCACCCUACAUAUAGUAUGUUUGUGAAAUACCUACGUUGUUAGAUUUUAAGUUCUUAGACCAUAUUAAUUUAUUUUAUCUUGUUUUCCACUUAGGAUGUAUAUGAAUGAACUCAAGAGUUUUGACAAACAACUUGAAAGAAAUGAGAAUUUAUUGCAAAAGAGACACACUGACUCUUUUGCUGCUUGGCUGAAUGAUAAGGUUGACAUAUAUAUAAGAAAUUCAACGUGUUUAAUUAUGUUUUUGUUUCUUCUAUUCCUAGCAUGUUUAUGAUAAAAACAGAUCAAAGGUCAACUGUUGCUGGACAAUGUUUCAAAUGCUUUAAAGUGGCUAGUGUGUGGUCCUAGAUGCCAGUCAAUGUCAUAUUCUAGUUUUGUAAUAAAUGGUCUUCAGUUUCACACGAAAAAUGCAGAAAAGUCUCGACAAAACGGUGGCAUUUCAGUUGAAGCGACAACCAUUUGUAGAUAUACUACAAAAGAUAAUGCACAUGUUGUUCGAAAGGUUCUUUAUUAUGGAGUUCUACAUGAUAUUAUAGUGCUUGAUUACAAUGCAUUUCAUAUUCUACUAUUAAAAUGUGAUUGGACAAAUAUCGUGAAUGGAAUAAAAAAAUGAGGAUGGAUUUACUUUGGUUAAUCUUAAUGAGGGAUAUAGACAAUUUGAAAACGAUCAUUUCAUUUUGACAUCACAGGCAAAACAAGUGUUCUAUUCUAGGGAGAGUGAAACAUCUAAUUGGUAUGUUGCUUUGCAAGCGUCACCAAGAGACUUUCACACUUACCUAUGGAAGAAGAUACUUCUCACUAGGCAACUAUUCCAUUAGAUAUAAUACAACUCGAAGACAAUUAGGAUGAGGAUGAGAAUUAUGCAAGGAUAUAUGUCGACGGCGUAUUAUGUGAUACAUAUCUCAAUUAGUUUGGUAAAUAUCCUCAUAAAAAUCACAUGCUUUAAGUUGACAUUGUAGAUAAAGUGUUUUUGGUGUAUUGAUUAAUCUUUUGAAUUUUAUUUUAAUGUUUGAUAAUCGUACUGGCAGAUUUUGUUAUAGUGAUUAAUUAAUUUGGUAAAUCUCUCUCUCUCUUUUUGUUUGCAGCUUUCCAUUAUCUUUGAAGUGAUUUGUUUCGAACCAGCUGACUGUAAUACACUUUAUAGGAUAGAAGGAGCUCAGGUUAGUGUGUUUUUUAUACUUCUUAAGUUAUCUAUUAACUUUCGAGAAUAAUUAUAUUUAUAUUUGGUUUUCACAUUGCAUUCUUUAAGUCGACCAAGCAAGCUUCGAAGAGCUGCAAUUGUUGUUACAGUUCGAGAAAUCAAUAAAAGACUAAGACUUUCGAGUGAACCUUAAAAUACUUUAUCAAUUCCAAUUACUAAUGAGCAAAACAUGCUGCCGACAAAUAUAAAUGCUCCAAAAAGGAAAAGAGGUCCAACCCAAGUGAAAUAGUACUUAGCUCGAAUUUAAUGAAUUCGAGCAAGUAGUUGGCACUAACUCUGAUAAAGUUGCUAGUAUAGUUGGAGACAUGAUACGAGAACAUGUGUCUCUUGUAAUUAAGGAUUGGCAGUUGUUAGGUGACAUGAAAAAAAAGGAACUUUGGACUUUCAUAAAG
rnacentral:lncRNA from 1 species